UACGUAGGUGACCAGCGUUGUCCGGAUUUACUGGGCGUAAAGAGCGCGCAGGCGGUCGUUCAAGUCGAGUGUGAAAGCCCCCGGCUCAACUGGGGAGGGUCACUUGAUACUGAUCGACUCGAAGGCAGGAGAGGGAAGCGGAAUUCCCGGUGUAGUGGUGAAAUGCGUAGAUAUCGGGAGGAACACCAGUGGCGAAGGCGGCUUCCUGGCCCUGGUUCGUUGAACCUCGCUGAGGC
rnacentral:rRNA from 1 species